GACAGAGGGUGCAAACGUUGUUCGGAAUUACUGGGCGUAAAGCGUGCGCAGGCGGCCUUGCAAGUCGGGCGUGAAAUCCCACGGCUCAACCGUGGAAGUGCACUCGAAACUGCUUGGCUAGAGUCUUGGAGAGGAAGGCGGAAUGCUUGGUGUAGAGGUGAAAUUCGUAGAUAUCAAGCGGAACACCGGUGGCGAAGGCGGCCUCUGGACAAUGACUGACGCUAAAACACGAAAGCGUGGGGAGCAAAACAGGAU
rnacentral:rRNA from 1 species